ACGAACGCUGGCGGCGUGCCGUAAUACAUGCAAGUCGAACGGUCUUUCUUAAAGGAGCUUGCUUCCACUGAGAAGAUAGUGGCGAACGGGUGAGUAACACGUGGGUAACCUGCCCAUAAGAGGGGGGAUAACAUCCGGAAACGGGUGCUAAUACCGCAUAGUUUCUUGAUCGCAUGAUCGGAAAGGAAAGACGGCCUUUGUGCUGUCGCUUAUGGAUGGACCCGCGGCGUAUUAGUUAGUUGGUGAGGUAACGGCUCACCAAGACGAUGAUACGUAGCCGACCUGAGAGGGUGAUCGGCCACAUUGGGACUGAGACACGGCCCAAACUCCUACGGGAGGCAGCAGUAGGGAAUCUUCCGCAAUGGACGAAAGUCUGACGGAGCAACGCCGCGUGAGUGAAGAAAAGGUUUUCGGAUCGUAAAACUCUGUUGUCAGAGAAGAACAAGUUGGAGAGUAACUGCUCCAGCCUUGACGGUAUCUGACCAGAAAGCCACGGCUAACUACGUGCCAGCAGCGGC
rnacentral:rRNA from 1 species